rnacentral:rRNA from 1 species
AGCUCGUGUCGUGAGAUGUUGGGUUAAGUCCCGCAACGAGCGCAACCCCUAUUGUUAGUUGCCAUCAUUCAGUUGGGCACUCUAGCGAGACUGCCGGUAAUAAACCGGAGGAAGGUGGGGAUGACGUCAAAUCAUCAUGCCCCUUAUGACCUGGGCUACACACGUGCUACAAUGGUUGGUACAACGAGUUGCGAGUCGGUGACGGCGAGCUAAUCUCUUAAAGCCAAUCUCAGUUCGGAUUGUAGGCUGCAACUCGCCUACAUGAAGUCGGAAUCGCUAGUAAUCGCGGAUCAGCACGCCGCGGUGAAUACGUUCCCGGGCCUU